rnacentral:rRNA from 1 species
UACGUAGGCAGCAAGCGUUGUUCGGAGUUACUGGGCGUAAAGAGUGCGUAGGCGGUUGGCUAAGUUUGGUGUGAAAUCUCCCGGCUCAACCGGGAGGGUGCGCCGAAAACUGGCUGGCUAGAGUAUGGGAGAGGUAAGCGGAAUUCCUGGUGUAGCGGUGAAAUGCGUAGAUAUCAGGAGGAACACCUGUGGUGUAGACAGCUUACUGGACCAUGACUGACGCUGAGGCACGAAAGCGUGGGUAGCAAACAGG